GCGUGGUGACUAUGGGCAAAAUACAUGAGUUCACUCCAUUUUUGGCGCGAACUUGUGAAGGCCUAUGUCCGAAGUCGACUGUAUUAGGCUAAAAUAUUUAUAUUUAUUUUGA